UACGUAGGUGGCAAGCGUUGUCCGGAUUUAUUGGGUUUAAAGGGUGCGUAGGCGGUUCUGUAAGUCAGUGGUGAAAUCCGGCAGCUCAACUGUCGAUGUGCCACUGAUACUGCAGAACUUGAGUACAGACGAGGUAGGCGGAAUUGACGGUGUAGCGGUGAAAUGCUUAGAUAUCGUCAAGAACACCGAUAGCGAAGGCAGCUUACUAGACUGUAACUGACGCUGAUGCACGAAAGUGUGGGGAUCAAACAGG
rnacentral:rRNA from 1 species